UGCAGAUUGAUAUGCUUAGGUAAAUGAAUUAUUCACUUUUAUAUUAUUUUGACUAUAAUCUCAGAAAAUUAAUUGAAAGAUUGUCUUACAAAAAUAUAAAUAAUGCAAGUUUAUGUUUAUAUGCUUAGGUAAAUCAAUCAUGCACUUUUAUAUUAUUUUGACUAUAAUCUCAGAAAAUUAAUUGAAAGAUUUUCCUUUCAAAUAUAUAAUUAAUGCAAGUUUAUGUUUAUAUGCUUAGGUAAAUGAAUCAUGCACUUUUAUAUUAUUUUGACUAUAAUCUCAGAAGAUUUUCUUUAGAAAAAUAUAAUUAACACAAGUUUAUGUUUUUAUGUAGAUUGACAUGCUUAGGUAAAUGAAUCAUGCACUUUUAUAUUAUUUUGACUAUAAUCUCAGAAAAUUAAUUGAAAGAUUUUCUUACAAAAAUAUAAAUAAUACAAGUUUAUGUUUAUAUGCUCAGGUAAAUGAAUUAUGCACUUUUAUAUUAUUUUGACUAUAAUCUCAUAAAAUUAAUUGAAAGAUUUCCUUACGAAAAUAUAAUUAAUGCAAGUUUAUGUUUAUAUGUUUAGGUAAAUGAACCAUGCACUUUUAUAUUAUUUUGACUAUAAUCUCAGAAAAUUAAUUGAAAGAUUUUCUUUACAAAAAUAUAAUUAAUGCAAGUUUAUGUUUAUAUGUAUAUAUAUAGGAAUCUAAAAUAUAAUAGAACUCUCAAACAAUUUAUAAAACAUCCUACAAAAUGAGUCUCUCCAAAAAAUGUACAUUAAUCGCAUUUGUUUUCACUCUUUUCUUCGCGAUGUCAAUUGUUCGCUGCACCGAUAUUGUUUCAGAUUUCGGAGUAAAGUAUAAUGUGUGCUAUGGUCCAUGUGACGACAAAGGAGUGUGUAGACCGUUUUGUUCUUCCAAAAAAGGUCUGAAAAUGGGAGACUGUGUUGGCAAA